UAGGGAAUCUUCGGCAAUGGACGAAAGUCUGACCGAGCAACGCCGCGUGAGUGAAGAAGGUUUUCGGAUCGUAAAACUCUGUUGUUAGAGAAGAACAAGGACGUUAGUAACUGAACGUCCCCUGACGGUAUCUAACCAGAAAGCCACGGCUAACUACGUGCCAGCAGCCGCGGUAAUACGUAGGUGGCAAGCGUUGUCCGGAUUUAUUGGGCGUAAAGCGAGCGCAGGCGGUUUCUUAAGUCUGAUGUGAAAGCCCCCGGCUCAACCGGGGAGGGUCAUUGGAAACUGGGCGACUUGGGUGCAGAAGAGGGGAGUGGAAUUCCAUGUGUAGCGGUGAAAUGCGUAGAUAUAUGGAGGAACACCAGUGACGAAGGCGGCUCUCUGGUCUGUAACUGACGCUGAGGCUCGAAAGCGUGGGGAGCAAACAGG
rnacentral:rRNA from 1 species